UUCUUCCAGAACGUUCCUUCUCAAAUUUUUCCACACAAAAAAUUCACUCUAUAGCAGAUUAGGGUUCUCUUGGAGAAAAAGGGAUAGUGAAAAAUGUCUCACUUCGGGAGAUCAGGGCCUCCUGAUAUAUCAGAUACAUACUCUCUUCUCAUCCUCAAUAUCUCUUUCCGCACGUCUGCUGAUGAUCUCUUCCCGCUGUUCGACAAGUAUGGAAAGGUCGUCGAUAUCUUUAUUCCCAGAGAUCGAAGGACUGGUGAAUCACGGGGUUUUGCAUUUGUCCGUUAUAAGUAUCAGGAUGAAGCUCAAAAGGCUGUGGAAAGACUAGAUGGGGAAGUGGUUGAUGGCAGAGAAAUUGCUGUUCAGUUUGCAAAGUAUGGGCCAAAUGCAGAACGGAUUCACAAAGGAAGAGUCGUUGAAAAGGCUCCCAGAAGUCGUGGACGAUCAAGAAGUAGAAGCCCUCGGAGAAGGCACCGAGAUUAUUAUCAUAGAGAAUACAGGAGAAGCCGGAGCAGAAGUCGGGAGAGGUAUGAGCGUGACAGGUACCGUGAGAGGAAACAUGGUCAUCGGUACCGGAGCAGGAGUUAUAGUGCCAGCCCAGACCAUGAUAGAUACCGUGGCAGGGGACGGUACAUAGAUGAGCCCCGGAGGAGUAGUAGAUCAUUUGAAAGUGCCUCUCCACCCCGGCGUAGCCCUAGCCCUUAUAGGAGUCUGUCCCCACGAAGGACACCAUCUCCUAGGGGUGGAAGUCCUGAGAGGCGCAGCCAUCAUGAGCUGUCCCCAAGUCCCAAGGCAUCGAAGUAUGUCUUGCCAGAACCAAGUGAUUGAUUUUUGUAGCUCUUCUCCUCAGAAUCCAGACAAUGAGUGAUCUGCACGAUUUUGGAUAUGCAGCUCCUAGAAGGGGAUUAUAUCUUUUGUGGCACUUUAGCUGAUGUCUCGAACUUGAAUCUAAUGCAUGUUCUAGAAGGAGCGUUAGGGACCUUGUUGUGCUCGAGAAAAGAUUUGAGUGGGGUUGAUGGCUAGACGAUGAUGUGGUUGUUGAUGCUUGUCAUCAUUAGAUGCUGGUUGUGAAUAGCAGAUGCUGAUUCCAAGGAUGUUUGUGAGUGUUCUAUGGAUGACAUUGUCAUUGCCUUGUGACUUUGUUAUCAUCUGUGAACUUUGGUUGUUUACACUAUUUGCCUCUGAAAUGGGAACCAGUGCUGUGCUGGACUCGGUUGACACAAAUUGAAUCUACUCAUACUGAGGGCUACUGGACCUGAUAUCCAGUUAAUAGUGCUCACAUUAUAUCUUGACAACUUCACUUGAAACAUUCAGCGAUGAGGACAUAAUUGGUGUAUUGCCCGUGCUGCAGCAGAAAGGAUCUGAUGAUUUUAGAUGUAGCUUUGAGGUGUGAUUGAAUCUACUUCAUUGGCUGUAGAUGCACCCUGUUGCUGGAUUAUCUGGUUGUGUGAUGAGGACCUGUGAUUUGCAGCAACUUGACUUUUCAAAUAGGCGUAUUGGUAGUUUGGUACUAAUACUUAAAGAGCUGUGUUCUUUCUACAAUAAGGAAUUAUAAAAAGGGAAAUGUUGCUUUAGGCAUGAGUAACUUUUCAAAUAGGUGCGUUGGUACUAAAACUUGUGCUUUUAGAGAUGUGUGUUCUUUUUACAUUUAUGGAAUUAUAAAAAUGGAAACCAUGAAUAUUGAUCUAGCCAUCUGCUCGAGUCGAGACUGACUUCCUGAA